UAGUAUUACAGCUCUUUUAGAAUUUGUCUAGCAGAUUUUGUUUUUUACCAUGAAAGAAAUGUCAUU
ensembl:snRNA U7 U7 small nuclear RNA